UUACAUAAGAACAAGAGUUAGCAGUUGUCGAUGUGCUGUGGGCUAACAGUGCAAUUAAACAUUUUGAAAUCAGAGUUCUGCUCCAUGACACCAACUUUCAGAAUAUCAUGUCUUUCAGUCUCUACCAUAAAUAGGGUGCUGAAGACACAUGCUAUAUCAGGGAAAUAGCUCUACACUGUUUCAUUUUCCAGAAAUAAUGAGGGGAUGAAGUAGAAAACAUUCUUGUAUGUGUGGAGUGAUGGAGCUGGAGACAACUGACACCACAUACACAUUUGUGCAUGGGGAUGAAGAUGAAUUCAUCCUGUACAAAAUCAGGUGACGUGGCAGAAACAAUAUUAGGCCCUCAAGCCAUGGUGGAUAUACCUGUGCUGUGUAAUGGUAUCAAACCAUGUGUGCUGCCAUACCAAAAGAUGGCGUAAUCCACCACAUUCCCACCAUUAGACCCUACAACGCAGUUCAUCUUCUUGAUUUAUUGAGGGCUUUUAUAAUGAUCUCAUUCUUGAGAAUGAGAGUGGAGUGUUGAGCCCUAAAAUGUCGCAAUAUGUAUUUAUUUAGGACAAUGCCGGUUUUCAUCACUCCAGUCACGUCAGGGAAUGGUCUGUCAAUGAAGUUCUUAUAACCCUGUUCAUCAUUCCUCAACCUAACUGAGAAAUUCUUCUAAGCAUGGAUGUGGAAUGCAUAUGACCACUAGCUCCAAGAGCACAUACUGUAUCUCUGUUAGAGGCAAUGGAUGCAUGCUUGUGAAGACAUCAGUUUGGAGGCAUGCUAGGGUGAGAAUGUUCUUCCCCCUCUGCCUUAAAAGUAUCUUCAUGUGGCACUCAGUGCCAAUGCUCUACUGCCAAGUUGUUUUCCUGCCUGUCAUCUCAGAUAAAGGAGCAAUGG